CCUACGGGUGGCAGCAGUGGGGAAUAUUGCGCAAUGGGGGAAACCCUGACGCAGCAACGCCGCGUGGAGGAAGAAGGUCUUCGGAUUGUAAACUCCUGUCUUCUGGGACGAUAAUGACGGUACCAGAGGAGGAAGCCACGGCUAACUACGUGCCAGCAGCCGCGGUAAUACGUAGGUGGCGAGCGUUGUCCGGAAUUAUUGGGCGUAAAGGGCGCGUAGGCGGCUCUUUAAGUCAGAUGUGAAAACCCAGGGCUUAACUGUGGGAGUGCAUUUGAAACUGAAGGGCUCGAGUGCAGGAGAGGUAAGUGGAAUUCCUAGUGUAGCGGUGAAAUGCGUAGAUAUUAGGAGGAACACCAGUGGCGAAGGCGACUUACUGGACUGUAACUGACGCUGAGGCGCGAAAGCGUGGGGAGCAAACAGGAUUAGAUACCCCUGUAGUC
rnacentral:rRNA from 1 species